rnacentral:rRNA from 1 species
CCUACGGGAGGCAGCAGUGAGGAAUAUUGGUCAAUGGACGAGAGUCUGAACCAGCCAAGUAGCGUGAAGGAUGACUGCCCUAUGGGUUGUAAACUUCUUUUAUAUGGGAAUAAAAUGUUCCACGGGUGGGAUUUUGUAUGUACCAUAUGAAUAAGGUUCGGCUAACUCCGUGCCAGCAGCAGCGGUAAAACGGAGGAUCGGAGCGUUAUCCGGAUUAUUUGGGUUUAAAGGGUGCUAGGGCGGAGCGUUAAGUUACUGGUAAAAGUGAGGGGCUAAACCCCGUCCCGCCAUUGAAACUGGCGCGCUUGAGUGGAAGGGAAGUAUGCGGAAUGCGUGGUGUAGCGGUGAAAUGCAUAGAUAUCACGCAGAACCCCGAUUGCGAAGGCAGCAUGCCGGCUCCCGACUGACGCUGAAGCACGAAAGCGUGGGGAUCGAACAGGAUUAGAUACCCCUGUAGUC